GGCACAAUGGCAUAGUGGUUUGCACUGUUGUCUCAGACCUCUGGGGUUGUUGGUUCAAAUCCCACCUCUGCCC